rnacentral:rRNA from 1 species
UGGGGAAUCUUGGACAAUGGGGGCAACCCUGAUCCAGCCAUGCCGCGUGAGUGAUGAAGGCCUUAGGGUCGUAAAGCUCUUUCGCCUGUGAAGAUAAUGACGGUAGCAGGUAAAGAAACCCCGGCUAACUCCGUGCCAGCAGCCGCGGUAAUACGGAGGGGGUUAGCGUUGUUCGGAAUUACUGGGCGUAAAGCGCACGUAGGCGGACCAGAAAGUUGGGGGUGAAAUCCCGGGGGCUCAACCCCGGAACUGCCUCCAAAACUAUUGGUCUAGAGUUCGAGAGAGGUGAGUGGAAUUCCAAGUGUAGAGGUGAAAUUCGUAGAUAUUUGGAGGAACACCAGUGGCGAAGGCGGCUUACUGGCUCGAUACUGACGCUGAGGUGCGAAAGUGUGGGGAGCAAACAGGAUUAGAUACCC